rnacentral:rRNA from 1 species
AGAGUUUGAUCAUGGCUCAGGACGAACGCUGGCGGCGUGCUUAACACAUGCAAGUCGAGCGGUAAGGCUCCUUCGGGAGUACACGAGCGGCGAACGGGUGAGUAACACGUGAGCAAUCUGCCCUUCACUUCGGGAUAACUCCGGGAAACCGGUGCUAAUACCGAAUACGACCACUUCAGGCAUCUGAUGGUGGUGGAAAGUUCCGGCGGUGGAGGAUGAGCUCGCGGCCUAUCAGCUUGUUGGUGGGGUAAUGGCCUACCAAGGCAACGACGGGUAGCCGGCCUGAGAGGGUGACCGGCCACACUGGGACUGAGACACGGCCCAGACUCCUACGGGAGGCAGCAGUGGGGAAUAUUGGACAAUGGGCGAAAGCCUGAUCCAGCAACGCCGCGUGAGGGAUGACGGCCUUCGGGUUGUAAACCUCUUUCAGCAGGGACGAAGCGCAAGUGACGGUACCUGCAGAAGAAGCACCGGCCACUACGUGCCAGCAGCCGCGGUA